rnacentral:SRP_RNA from 12 species
GCCGGGUGCAGUGGCGCGCGCCUGUAAUCCAAGCUGCUGGCAGGCUGAGGCUGGCGGAUCGCUUGAGUUCAGGGGAUCUGGGCUGCAGUGGACUAUGUCGAUCGGGUGUCCGCGCUAAGUUCGGUAUCGAUAUGGUGCUCCUGGGGGAGCUCGGGACCACCAGGUUGUCUAAGGAGGGGUGAACCGGCCCAGGUCGGAGACGGAGCAGGUCAAAGCCCCCGUGCCGAUCAGUAGUGGGGUCGCGCCUGUGAAUAGACACUGCAGUGCAGCCUGAGCGAUACAGCGAGACUCAGACUUUU